rnacentral:rRNA from 1 species
GAUGAACGCUGGCGGCGUGCCUAAUACAUGCAAGUCGAGCGAACGGACGAGAAGCUUGCUUCUCUGAUGUCAGCGGCGGACGGGUGAGUAACACGUGGAUAACCUACCUAUAAGACUGGGAUAACUUCGGGAAACCGGAGCUAAUACCGGAUAAUAUUUUGAACCGCAUGGUUCAAAAGUGAAAGACGGUCUUGCUGUCACUUAUAGAUGGAUCCGCGCUGCAUUAGCUAGUUGGUAAGGUAACGGCUUACCAAGGCAACGAUGCAUAGCCGACCUGAGAGGGUGAUCGGCCACACUGGAACUGAGACACGGUCCAGACUCCUACGGGAGGCAGCAGUAGGGAAUCUUCCGCAAUGGGCGAAAGCCUGACGGAGCAACGCCGCGUGAGUGAUGAAGGUCUUCGGAUCGUAAAACUCUGUUAUUAGGGAAGAACAUAUGUGUAAGUAACUGUGCACAUCUUGACGGUACCUAAUCAGAAAGCCACGGCUAACUACGUGCCAGCAGCCGCGGUAAUACGUAGGUGGCAAGCGUUAUCCGGAAUUAUUGGGCGUAAAGCGCGCGUAGGCGGUUUUUUAAGUCUGAUGUGAAAGCCCACGGCUCAACCGUGGAGGGUCAUUGGAAACUGGAAAACUUGAGUGCAGAAGAGGAAAGUGGAAUUCCAUGUGUAGCGGUGAAAUGCGCAGAGAUAUGGAGGAACACCAGUGGCAAAGGCGACUUUCUGGUCUGUAACUGACGCUGAUGUGCGAAAGCGUGGGGAUCAAACAGGAUUAGAUACCCUGGUAGUCCACGCCGUAAACGAUGAGUGCUAAGUGUUAGGGGGUUUCCGCCCCUUAGUGCUGCAGCUAACGCAUUAAGCACUCCGCCUGGGGAGUACGACCGCAAGGUUGAAACUCAAAGGAAUUGACGGGGACCCGCACAAGCGGUGGAGCAUGUGGUUUAAUUCGAAGCAACGCGAAGAACCUUACCAAAUCUUGACAUCCUUUGACAACUCUAGAGAUAGAGCCUUCCCCUUCGGGGGACAAAGUGACAGGUGGUGCAUGGUUGUCGUCAGCUCGUGUCGUGAGAUGUUGGGUUAAGUCCCGCAACGAGCGCAACCCUUAAGCUUAGUUGCCAUCAUUAAGUUGGGCACUCUAAGUUGACUGCCGGUGACAAACCGGAGGAAGGUGGGGAUGACGUCAAAUCAUCAUGCCCCUUAUGAUUUGGGCUACACACGUGCUACAAUGGACAAUACAAAGGGCAGCGAAACCGCGAGGUCAAGCAAAUCCCAUAAAGUUGUUCUCAGUUCGGAUUGUAGUCUGCAACUCGACUACAUGAAGCUGGAAUCGCUAGUAAUCGUAGAUCAGCAUGCUACGGUGAAUACGUUCCCGGGUCU